CUAAGCACGCGCAGCACACCUGCGCUGCCGCUUGUCCCACUUUUAAAACGGUGUAUUUGGUCUUUGGAUGACGUGUCCGCAACAAAAGAAGCUCUACUCUUUUGUCAAGGGCAAAAGUGUAGCAUGUACCCCCUUCUACACAACAUGGCAGCUUCUUUAGAAAUUGAACUAAAUUUCACUAAAACUACUGGAGCUCAAGCGCACAACAGGACAGUGAACAUAAAUCGACAUGGGUAAUAACGUCGCGGCAUCUCAACGUUGCAUCAGGAAAGAUUUCAAAGACUUCCGAGCUCUCAGAGAGGAGGGGUGCGUCACUUGAGUGGGUUGAGUCACUGACGGGAUCUUCUUGUCUGGGUUGGCGCCCCCCCUUGGGUUGUGCCGUGGCGGAGAUCUUUGUGGGCUAUACUCGGCCUUGUCUCAGGAUGGUAAGUUGGUGGUUGAAGAGAUCCCUCUAGUGGUGUGGGGGCUGUGAUUUGGCAAAGUGGGUGGGGUUAUAUCCUGCCUGUUUGGCCCUGUCUGGGGGUAUUGUCGAAUGGGGCCACAGUGUCUCCCGACCCCUCCUGUCUCAGCCUCCAGUAUUUAUGCUGCAGUAGUUUAUGUGUCGGGGGGCUAGGGUCAGUCUGUUAUAUCUGGAGUAUUUCUCCUGUCUUAUCCUGUGUCCUGUGUGAAUUUAAGUAUGCUCUCUCUAAUUCUCUUUCUUUCUUUCUCUCUCUCUCUCUCUCUCUCUCUCUCGGAGGACCUGAGCCCUAGGACCAUGCCUCAGGACUACCUAGCCUGAUGACUCCUUGCUGUCCCCAGUCCACCUGUCCAUGCUGCUGCUCCAGUUUCAACUGUUCUGCCUGCGGCUAUGGAACCCUGACCUGUUCACCAGACAUGCUACCUGACAGCAGGAUCGGUAGAGAUAAUCUGAAUGAUCGGCUAUGAAAAGUCAACUGACAUUUACUCCUGAGGUGCUGACCUGUUGCACCCUCGACAACCAAUGUGAUUAUUAUUAUUUGACCCUGCUGGUCAUCUAUGAACAUUUGAACAUCUUGGCCAUGUUCUGUUAUAAUCUCCAUCCGGCACAGCCAGAAGAGGACUGGCCACCCCUCAUAGCCUGGUUCCUCUCUAGUUUUCUUCCUAGGUUCUGGCCUUUCUAGGGAGUUUUUCCUAGCCACCGUGCUUCUACACCUGCAUUGCUUGCUGUUUGGGGUUUUAGGCUGAGUUUCUCUAUAGCACUUUGAGAUAUCAGCUGAUGUAAUAAGGGCUUUAUAAAUACAUUUGAUUUGAUUUGACCAUCGUUUCUGUCUCUCUUAUGGAUAUGAAUAUGUGUGUGAUUUGUCCCUGUGUUUCUCUGUCUGUUUCUCUCUCUCUCUCUCUCUCUCUCUCUCUCUCUCUGUCUGUCAGUCUGUCUCUCUGUCUCUCACUCCCUCUCACUUUCUCCCUCCCGCUCGCUCUCUCUCUUGCUCUCUCUCACUCUCUCUGCACGAAUAGAAUGCAUUAUUCAUUUAUUCAUCCACAUGUAUUCAGGCAUUGCAUAAACGGCUCAAUGAUCAAACACAUGCCGUGUGUCAUAGACCAGGCUCUGCACAAUGUGCCCAGAACAGGUCAUGCAGACGAGAACGGCAUGAAGCCAUAUUAGUCAUAAUAUGUAUUUUACCCAGACCACAAGUUUGUUUGGCUUACAGGAAAGAACAUUGAAACAAUUGACGGCAUGAUUUUAAUGAUGUGUUUUGUUAUUCAGUAACACUAUGGGGUGGAUGGGUUCAGUGUAGGACAUAAGCUGCAUUUUUUGUUGUUGUGUGAUUUGUUCGCUUGAUCAGUCUGCAGAGGCACCUUACAAGAGGGUUGUGUGUGUGUGUGUGUGUGUGUGUUAGUGUGUGUGUGUGUGUGUGUGUGUGUGUGUGUGUGUGUGUGUGUGUGUGUGUGUGUGUGUGUGUGUGUGUGUGUGUGUGUGUGUGUGAACUCUUGUAAGGCUACAUCAAAGCUAAAAACAGAAAAACUUGCAUGUUGUCAGUUGCUUACCAACAACCAGAGAGACAGUCUUGCCUCGGGGGUGGAUGGCAGUGUUGUGGUCAAAAACAUACAGUCCCCUGUGUGAGUAAGUCUAAAAUCUCUCUCUCUCUUUCUCUCUCAGACUCUCUCUCUCUCUCUCUCUCCCUCUCUUUCUGUCUCCUCUCUCUUUCACUUACACAUAUCCCCAGCCUUAGGGAGAGAGUAGGCCAAUGCGUGGGAGGACCAUAGCGAGAGCUGUCACACACAAACACAGUCAUAGAGUUAGUCUAAAGUCAAAAUAGAAAUGAAAUAAACACUAGUAUGUGAACAGACAACAUAGAUUUAUGCAUAUGUCAACACUUGACUAAUCACCUGAUGCUGGUAAAAUGGUACCAAACAUUCACUCCAUGGUCAGCUGUCAGCAUUGAGUCUCUAUAGCAGAAAUGUUUGUUGAAAUGUGAAAAGAAAAUAAAUGUAAUUCAUUGAUUUGUAAAAUAUAUAACUCGACUGAUCUAUCGAGAUCUUCUUUCUCGCAGUGAAACUCCCCUCAGUAUCACCAUAAGUCUCUUUAAGCCUGGCCGGCAUGCUAAAUACCUCUCUCUCUCUCUCACACACACACACACACACUACUGUAACCCUACUGUAACUCUCUCAUGGCCAUGCUGUGUGGGUGACAGAUGGCAGUAGAGAUGAAAACUCCCUGAAUAAAUAUGUAAUCCACUGCUCACAUGGGCCACGGCAGAUUAUCAGAAACACUACAGCAUGGGGCUCAGUGGUGAGAGAGAGAGCGAGCAAAAGAGAGAGAGCAACAGAGAGAGAGCAAAAAAGAGAGAGCAAAAGAGAGAGAGAGAGAGAGAGAAAGAGAGAGAG
rnacentral:lncRNA from 1 species